AUUGAACGCUGGCGGCAGGCCUAACACAUGCAAGUCGAACGAGUGGCGGACGGGUGAGUAAUGUCUGGGAAACUGCCCGAUGGAGGGGGAUAACUACUGGAAACGGUAGCUAAUACCGCAUACCAUCGGAUGUGCCCAGAGGGGAUUAGCUAGUCGGUGGGGUAACGGCUCACAUAGGCGACGAUGCCUAGCUGGUCUGAGAGGGUGACCAGACACACUGGCACUGAGACACGGUCCAGACUCCCACGGGAGGCAGAAGUGGGGAAUAUUGCACAAUGGGCGCAAGCCUGAUGCAGCCAUGCCGCGUGUAUGAAGAAGGCCUUCGGGUUGUAAAGUACUUUCAGCGGGGAAGCGUUACCCGCAGAAGAAGCACCGGCUAACUACGUGCCAGCCGCCGCGGUAAUUC
rnacentral:rRNA from 1 species